GACAGAGGCCUCAAGCGUUAGGCGGAAUCACUGGGCUUAAAGCGUGUGUAGGCGGGUCGUUAAGUGUCUUGUGAAAUCCCACGGCUCACCCGUGGAACUGCUGGGCAUACUGGCGAUCUUGGGCCAACUAGGGGCAGCCGGGAACAAGCGGUGGAGCGGUGAAAUGCGUAGAUAUCGCUUGGAACGCCGAAGGUGAAAACGAGGCUGCUG
rnacentral:rRNA from 1 species